rnacentral:rRNA from 1 species
AAGCCCCGCAAGGGGUAAGUAGAGUGGCAAACGGGUGAGUAACACGUGGGUGACCUGCCUUCGAGUGGGGGAUAACGUCCCGAAAGGGACGCUAAUACCGCAUGACAUCCUGCUCUUGGACGAGCGGAGAUCAAAGCUGGGGAUCGCAAGACCUGGCGCUUGAAGAGGGGCCCGCGCCUGAUUAGCUAGUUGGUGAGGUAAUGGCUCACCAAGGCGACGAUCAGUAUCCGGCCUGAGAGGGCGGACGGACACACUGGGACUGAGACACGGCCCAGACUCCUACGGGAGGCAGCAGUGGGGAAUUGUUCGCAAUGGGCGCAAGCCUGACGACGCAACGCCGCGUGGAGGACGAAGAUUUUCGGA